rnacentral:rRNA from 1 species
UGGGGAAUAUUGCACAAUGGACGGAAGUCUGAUGCAGCAACGCCGCGUGCGGGAUGACGGCCUUCGGGUUGUAAACCGCUUUUUCUCAUGACGAAGUUUUUUGACGGUAGUGGGGGAAGAAGCACCGGCUAACUACGUGCCAGCAGCCGCGGUGAUACGUAGGGUGCGAGCGUUGUCCGGAAUUAUUGGGCGUAAAGAGCUUGUAGGCGGUUUGUCGCGUCGAUAGUGCAAACUCAGUGCUUAACGCUGAGCCUGCUGUUGAUACGGGCAGACUAGAGGAAGGUAGGGGAGAAUGGAAUUCCCGGUGGAGCGAUGGAAUGCGCAGAUAUCGGGAGGAACACCGGUGGCGAAGGCGGUUCUCUGGGCCUUUCCUGACGCUGAGAAGCGAAAGCGUGGGGUGCGAACAGG